rnacentral:misc_RNA from 1 species
CAAGCCUUCAAGCGUUCUGUUCAUCAAAUUUCAAAAGCGUUUAAAAACAGAUAAAGCGUUUAAAAAACAGGUAAAAAAGCGUUUAAGCAGAUAUAAAGCGUUUAAGAAACAUAUCUGUUUCUUAAACAUAUCUUUUUGUUUUCUUUUGUUUUCUUUUGUUUGUCCCGAGGAAGGUUUUUACCGAUUUACUCCUG